rnacentral:rRNA from 1 species
GACGAACGCUGGCGGCGUGCUUAACACAUGCAAGUCGUACGGUAAGGCCCUUUCGGGGGUACACGAGUGGCGAACGGGUGAGUAACACGUGAGUAACCUGCCCACAACUUUGGGAUAACGCUAGGAAACUGGUGCUAAUACUGGAUAUGUGCUCCUGCUGCAUGGUGGGGGUUGGAAAGCUCCGGCGGUUGUGGAUGGACUCGCGGCCUAUCAGCUUGUUGGUGGGGUAGUGGCCUACCAAGGCGGCGACGGGUAGCCGGCCUGAGAGGGUGACCGGCCACAUUGGGACUGAGAUACGGCCCAGACUCCUACGGGAGGCAGCAGUGGGGAAUAUUGCACAAUGGGCGCAAGCCUGAUGCAGCAACGCCGCGUGCGGGAUGACGGCCUUCGGGUUGUAAACCGCUUUCAGCAGGGACGAAGCUUUCUGUGACGGUACCUGCAGAAGAAGCACCGGCUAACUACGUG